rnacentral:rRNA from 1 species
GAUGAACGCUGGCGGCGUGCCUAACACAUGCAAGUCGAGCGGCAGCGAGGGGUGCUUGCACCCUGUCGGCGAGCGGCGGACGGCUGAGUAACGCGUGGGAACGUGCCCCAAAGUGAGGAAUAACUGCCCGAAAGGGUAGCUAAUACCGCAUAUUAUCUUCGGAUCAAAGGAUUUAUCCGCUUUGGGAGCGGCUCGCGUCGGAUUAGGUAGUUGGUGAGGUAAUGGCUCACCAAGCCGACGAUCCGUAGCUGGUCUGAGAGGAUGACCAGCCAGACUGGAACUGAGACACGGUCCAGACUCCUACGGAAGGCAGCAGUGAGGAAUCUUCCACAAUGGGCGAAAGCCUGAUGGAGCAACGCCGCGUGCAGGACGAAGGCCUUCGGGUUGUAAACUGCUUUUAUAAGUGAGGAAUAUGACGGUAACUUAUGAAUAAGGAUCGGCUAACUACGUG